GACGGAGAGCUUGCUCUCCUGAUCAGUGGCGAACGGGUGAGUAACACGUGGGCAACCUGCCUCUCGCUCCGGGAUAACUUCGGGAAACCGAUGCUAAUACCGGAUACGACCUAAUGCGACAUCGCAUUUGGUGGAAAGAAUUUCGGCGAGAGAUGGGCCCGCGGCCUAUCAGCUAGUUGGUGAGGUAAAAGCUCACCAAGGCGACGACGGGUAGCCGGCCUGAAAGGGCGACCGGCCACACUGGGACUGAGACACGGCCCAGACUCCUACGGGAGGCAGCAGUGGGGAAUAUUGCACAAUGGGCGAAAGCCUGAUGCAGCGACGCCGCGUGAGGGAUGAAUGCCUUCGGGUUGUAAACCUCUUUCAGCAGGGACGAAGCGAAAGUGACGGUACCUGCAGAAGAAGCACCGGCUAACUACGUGCCAGCAGCCGCGGUAAUACGUAGGGUGCAAGCAUUGUCCGGAUUUAUUGGGCGUAAAGAGCUCGUAGGCGGUUUGUCGCGUCGGAUGUGAAACCUCGGGGCUCAACCCCGAGCCUGCAUUCGAUACGGACAGACUAGAGUGUUGCAGGGGAGACUGGAAUUCCUGGUAUAGCGGUGAAAUGCGCAGAUAUCAGGAGGAACACCGGUGGCGAAGGCGGGUCUCUGGGCAACAAC
rnacentral:rRNA from 1 species